AUUGAACGCUGGCGGCAGGCCUAACACAUGCAAGUCGAACGAGUGGCGGACGGGUGAGUAAUGUCUGGGAAACUGCCUGAUGGAGGGUGAUAACUACUGGAAACGGUAGCUAAUACCGCAUACCAUCGGAUGUGCCCAGAUGGGAUUAGCUUGUUGGUGGGGUAACGGCUCACCAAGGCGACGAUCCCUAGCUGGUCUGAGAGGAUGACGAGACACAUGGGAACUGAGACACGGUCCAGACUACUAAGGGAGGCAGAAGUGGGGAAUAUUGCACAAUGGGCGCAAGCAUGAUGCAGCCAUGGCGCGUGUAUGAAGAAGGCCUUCGGGUUGUAAAGUACUUUCAGCUGGGAGGCGGUACCCGCAGAAGAAGCAUCGGCUAACGCCGUGCCAGCAGACGCGGUAAUAC
rnacentral:rRNA from 1 species